CACGUAGGGCGCGAGCGUUGUCCGGAUUUAUUGGGCGUAAAGAGCUCGUAGGCGGCUUGUCACGUCGGGUGUGAAAGCCCGGGGCUUAACCCCGGGUCUGCAUUCGAUACGGGCUAGCUAGAGUGUGGUAGGGGAGAUCGGAAUUCCUGGUGUAGCGGUGAAAUGCGCAGAUAUCAGGAGGAACACCGGUGGCGAAGGCGGAUCUCUGGGCCAUUACUGACGCUGAGGAGCGAAAGCGUGGGAGCGAACAGG
rnacentral:rRNA from 1 species